CAUGAGCCCCCUACUCCACCGCCUGCUGCUCGCUGCACUGCUGCAGCUGGCUGGCACCCAGGCCCCUGUCUCCCAGCUUGAUGCCCCUGAUCACCAGAAGAAAGUGGUGCCCAGGUGCCCAGCUGAGUGACUGUGCAACGCUGUGGUGGCUGCUGCCCUGAUGACGGCCUGGAAUGUGUGCCCACUGGGCAGCACCAAGUCCGAAUGCAGAUCCUCAUGACCCAGUACCCUAGCAGUCAGCUGGGGGAGAUGUCCUUGGAAGAACACAGCCAAUGUGAAUGCAGACCCAAACAAAAGGAAAGUGCUGGGAAGCCAAACAGUGCUGCCAUGCCCCACCACCGUCCCCAGCCCUGCUCUGUUCUGGGCUGGAAUUCCGCCCCGGAGCACCCUCCCCAGCUGACAUCAUCCAUCCCACUCCAGCCCCAGGAUCCUCUGUCCACGCUGCACCCAGCACCGUCAGCGCCCUGACCCCUGGACCUGCCGCUGCUGCUGUAGAUGCCACAGCUUCCUCCAUUGAAGAGGGGAGCCCAGAACACCCCAGCCCAGGAGAUCUCAGCUGGGGCUCCAGAAGGGCCAGGGACAGAAGCUGAGGUAGAAGAGACUGAACUCUUAAAGGCCAA